CAGUCGCCACGGUAAUACGAAGGGUGCAAGCGUUAAUCGGAAUUACUGGGCGUAAAGCGUGCGUAGGCGGUGAGUUAAGUCUGCUGUGAAAUCCCCGGGCUCAACCUGGGAAUGGCAGUGGAUACUGGCUCGCUAGAGUGUGUCAGAGGAUGGUGGGAUUCCCGGUGUAGCGGUGAAAUGCGUAGAGAUCAGGAGGAACAUCAGUGGCGAAGGCGGCCAUCUGGGACAACACUGACGCUGAGGCACGAAAGCGUGGGGAGCAAACAGGAUUAGAUACCCCAGUAGUCCCUGUCUCUUAUAC
rnacentral:rRNA from 1 species